rnacentral:rRNA from 1 species
ACAUGCAAGUCGAGCGGGGAAGUAUAGCUUGCUAUACGACCUAGCGGCGGACGGGUGAGUAAUGCUUAGGAAUCUGCCUAUUAGUGGGGGACAACAUUCCGAAAGGAAUGCUAAUACCGCAUACGCCCUACGGGGGAAAGCAGGGGAUCUUCGGACCUUGCGCUAAUAGAUGAGCCUAAGUCAGAUUAGCUAGUUGGUGGGGUAAAGGCCUACCAAGGCGACGAUCUGUAGCGGGUCUGAGAGGAUGAUCCGCCACACUGGGACUGAGACACGGCCCAGACUCCUACGGGAGGCAGCAGUGGGGAAUAUUGGACAAUGGGCGAAAGCCUGAUCCAGCCAUGCCGCGUGUGUGAAGAAGGCCUUUUGGUUGUAAAGCACUUUAAGCGAGGAGGAGGCUACCGAGAUUAAUACUCUUGGAUAGUGGACGUUACUCGCAGAAUAAGCACCGGCUAACUCUGUGCCAGCAGCCGCGGUAAUACAGAGGGUGCGAGCGUUAAUCGGAUUUACUGGGCGUAAAGCGUGCGUAGGCGGCUUUUUAAGUCGGAUGUGAAAUCCCUGAGCUUAACUUAGGAAUUGCAUUCGAUACUGGGAAGCUAGAGUAUGGGAGAGGAUGGUAGAAUUCCAGGUGUGGCGGUGAAAUGCGUAGAGAUCUGGAGGAAUACCGAUGGCGAAGGCAGCCAUCUGGCCUAAUACUGACGCUGAGGUACGAAAGCAUGGGGAGCAAACAGGAUUAGAUACCCUGGUAGUCCAUGCCGUAAACGAUGUCUACUAGCCGUUGGGGCCUUUGAGGCUUUAGUGGCGCAGCUAACGCGAUAAGUAGACCGCCUGGGGAGUACGGUCGCAAGACUAAAACUCAAAUGAAUUGACGG